CUUUCUCUGCUGGCGACCGGCGCACGGGUGAGUAACACGUAUCCAACCUGCCCUUUACUCGGGGAUAGCCUUUCGAAAGAAAGAUUAAUACCCGAUAGCAUAAUGAUUCCGCAUGGUUUCAUUAUUAAAGGAUUCCGGUAAAGGAUGGGGAUGCGUUCCAUUAGGUUGUUGGUGAGGUAACGGCCCACCAAGCCUUCGAUGGAUAGGGGUUCUGAGAGGAAGGUCCCCCACAUUGGAACUGAGACACGGUCCAA
rnacentral:rRNA from 1 species